CAGUCGAACGAAGCACUUUAUUUGAUUUCCUUCGGGACUGAUUAUUUUGUGACUGAGUGGCGGACGGGUGAGUAACGCGUGGGUAACCUGCCUUGUACAGGGGGAUAACAGUUGGAAACGGCUGCUAAUACCGCAUAAGCGCACAGCAUCGCAUGAUGCAGUGUGAAAAACUCCGGUGGUAUAAGAUGGACCCGCGUUGGAUUAGCUAGUUGGUGAGGUAACGGCCCACCAAGGCGACGAUCCAUAGCCGACCUGAGAGGGUGACCGGCCACAUUGGGACUGAGACACGGCCCAAACUCCUACGGGAGGCAGCAGUGGGGAAUAUUGCACAAUGGGCGAAAGCCUGAUGCAGCGACGCCGCGUGAGCGAAGAAGUAUUUCGGUAUGUAAAGCUCUAUCAGCAGGGAAGAUAAUGACGGUACCUGACUAAGAAGCACCGGCUAAAUACGUGCCAGCAGCCGCGGUAAUACGUAUGGUGCAAGCGUUAUCCGGAUUUACUGGGUGUAAAGGGAGCGCAGGCGGUGCGGCAAGUCUGAUGUGAAAGCCCGGGGCUCAACCCCGGUACUGCAUUGGAAACUGUCGUACUAGAGUGUCGGAGGGGUAAGCGGAAUUCCUAGUGUAGCGGUGAAAUGCGUAGAUAUUAGGAGGAACACCAGUGGCGAAGGCGGCUUACUGGACGAUAACUGACGCUGAGGCUCGAAAGCGUGNGGAGCAAACAGGAUUAGAUACCCUGNUAGUCCACGCCGU
rnacentral:rRNA from 1 species